rnacentral:rRNA from 1 species
UACGAAGGGGGCUAGCGUUGUUCGGAAUUACUGGGCGUAAAGCGCACGUAGGCGGAUACUUAAGUUAGGGGUGAAAUCCCAGAGCUCAACUCUGGAACUGCCUUUAAUACUGGGUAUCUCGAGUCCGAGAGAGGUGAGUGGAAUUCCGAGUGUAGAGGUGAAAUUCGUAGAUAUUCGGAGGAACACCAGUGGCGAAGGCGGCUCACUGGCUCGGUACUGACGCUGAGGUGCGAAAGCGUGGGGAGCAAACAGG